rnacentral:rRNA from 1 species
AGAGUUUGAUCCUGGCUCAGGAUGAACGCUGGCGGCAUGCCUAAUACAUGCAAGUCGAACGAGAGGAAGGAAAGCUUGCUUUUCUGAAUCUAGUGGCGAACGGGUGAGUAACACGUAGGUAACCUGCCCAUGUGCCCGGGAUAACUUCUGGAAACGGAUGCUAAAACCGGAUAGGUAGCAGACAAGCAUUUGACUGCUAUUAAAGUGGCUAAGGCCAUGAACAUGGAUGGACCUGCGGUGCAUUAGCUAGUUGGUGAGGUAACGGCCCACCAAGGCGACGAUGCAUAGCCGGCCUGAGAGGGCGGACGGCCACAUUGGGACUGAGACACGGCCCAAACUCCUACGGGAGGCAGCAGUAGGGAAUUUUCGUCAAUGGGGGGAACCCUGAACGAGCAAUGCCGCGUGAGUGAGGAAGGUCUUCGGAUCGUAAAGCUCUGUUGUAAGAGAAAAACGACAUUCAUAGGGAAUGAUGAGUGAGUGAUGGUAUCUUACCAGAAAGUCACGGCUAACUACGUGCCAGCAGCCGCGGUAAUACGUAGGUGGCGAGCGUUAUCCGGAAUGAUUGGGCGUAAAGGGUGCGUAGGUGGCAGAACAAGUCUGGAGUAAAAGGUAUGGGCUCAACCCGUACUGGCUCUGGAAACUGUUCAGCUAGAGAACAGAAGAGGACGGCGGAACUCCAUGUGUAGCGGUAAAAUGCGUAGAUAUAUGGAAGAACACCGGUGGCGAAGGCGGCCGUCUGGUCUGUUGCUGACACUGAAGCACGAAAGCGUGGGGAGCAAAUAGGAUUAGAUACCCUAGUAGUCCACGCCGUAAACGAUGAG